CUACAGCUACUAACCUGCUUCCGCCCUCACGGUAACGUGCACAAUCUUCAUCGCAUGUCCUGGGUGGUGGUAGGAGCAGUAGAAACCCCCUGGGUCAUGUCAGAUUUAGAAAAUAUAAGCAAUGGCUCAUACACGAAUUUUAAGUUGUAACCUACAUGUGAUAAGUUGCUUUAUCUUCCAAAUGUAAUAAAAACCAGAAGUUACUUUGAAAUAAAUUGAAGGAUUAGCAGUGGUGACUGAGGAAUAAAAAUUAUAAUUUAAAAUUGUCCUUAAAGCUGGAAUUCUUAACUUAUUGACCUUAUAUCCUACAUAUUAUAGGACUUUGUA
rnacentral:lncRNA from 10 species